rnacentral:misc_RNA from 1 species
GAUGAAGAACGUAGCGAAAUGCGAUAAGUAGUGUGAAUUGCAGAAUUCAGUGAAUCAUCGAAUCUUUGAACGCACAUUGCGCCCUUUGGUAUUCCUUAGGGCAUGUCUGUUCGAGCGUCAUUUAAACCUUCAAGCUAAGCUUGGUGUUGGGUGACUGUCCGCUUCACUGCGGACUCGCCUCAAAAUUAUUGGCGGCCGGUACAUUGGCUUCGAGCGCAGCAGAAACGCGAACUCGGGCCCGUCGUAUUGGCUCCCAGAAGCUAUCUUCACAAUUUUGACCUCGGAUCAGGUAGGGAUACCCGCUGAACUUAAGCAUAUCAAUAAGCGGAGGA